GCUUGCAUUUCUUUUCUUUUUUUUUUUUAAUUUCAAUCUUCAUUUAUGUAUUUAUUUUGAGGAAGAUUAGCCCUGAGCUAACAUCUGCUGCCAAUCCUCCUCUUUUUUUUGCUGAGGAAGACUGACCUGAGCUAACAUCCAUGCCCAUCUUCCUCUAUUUUGUAUGUGGGAUGCCUGCCACAGCAUGGCUUGCCAAGCGGUGCCAUGUCCGCACCCGGGAUCCGAACCGGCAAACCCCAGGCUACCGAAGCGGAACGUGCACAUUCAACUGCUGCACCACCGGGCCCUGGUGCUUGCACUUCUGAUUAUUGACUAUCAGGAAGUCCCACCUGAGAGCUAACUCUCUGAUGAUAGUUUGAGCCCAUUUCCUGUUUCAUUGGGUCCUGGAAAUGUGAUAAGGCUUUGGCCAACUGCCAGCAGACUGGCUGGUCCCAAUGCCAAUUUGGGGAUAUGAAGGGUGUGAGUCCUAUUAUGUAAGUAGCGUUUCAGAAUGCACCAGAGUGGAAACAAUAGUCCUCAUUUCACCUGGAUUCACUCUAACUUUCUCCCUUGUACCAAGCAUCCUGGCCUGCCAAGGCCACAGUACGAGUAAGACAUUCCCGGAGGAACGUUAUUACUCAAGGGCAGUGAGACCCAGAGACACGUGGAAGGGAAGUGGCUGGGUGUCCAGCUCCAUGCUCUGCAGCCUCCACGAAUAGGCUGGUUUCUUUAAGGCCUUUCUUGAGGGCUAAUGAAAAACAAGUUGGAGCCAUGGUGUGGCUGGGGUGGGGGCAUUUGCAGAGCAGAGUUUAUAGGCACUUGCGUUUUCUUAACAGCUCCCUCCUCACACAUUCCUCUGCAUUUUUCCCUUUUAUUAAUGUGGCAUCCUUCCCAGGCCACUUUAUGGGACCGUGUGUGUUUUUACUUAUGCCCUGAUCGGGUUUGAUCAUGUCUCACCCUGUGAAGACCUCCAGAUCUUGUUCAAGGCCGCCCCCGCACCUCCUGCCUGGGCACGGGCAUUUCAGACCCUGAAGGACUCUUGGGCUCAUCUCUCAAUCGAAUCCUGAGGGCUCCACUUUAUUUUCGACAACACUAGGCACUUUUCUGUGUGAGGCUCGCACCUCAUUUGGAUUCCAAAUAAUACAACCCAGUUUGAUUACACACCCAAAUCCGAAAUGACUUCUGGCUCUUGCCCCAAAAUCAAAACUGCCCCAGAGGGUGAAGAAGAAGAUUUGCCACAACUGAAGAUUUUCAAAGGGAUGUUUGCAAGCCCUGAAGCCAUUGCCAAAGAGGGACUCUAAGACUGUUUGAUGGAACCCAGCUUUCCAAGGGGCCUGCUUUCAAAGGCAUGGCAUGCAUUUUUGGAUAGUCAAGCUUUGGCAUGUUUAUUAAAAAAGACACUCAUGUUACUUUCAGGAACUCUGCUCUUAGCCUUUCUUUUUUCUCUAGACUAUCAGUUCCCAGAGGGCCAAGACUGAGGUUUGGGAAAUUGACUUCCUGUCUUUGAGCUCAGUUUUAUCAACGUUUCCCCAUAUGGGUCUCCUGGUAUCUGGAAGGUGGCUCGACUUCACUUAGGCAUCAAGCAGCAGGCAUGGUGACAAUCCUGUGAUCUUUGAAAACCUGCUCCCCGUCUCGAAGCUGCAGUUUCUUCCCCUGUGAAAUGAGGAAAGAAUACAUAUUCUGCAGGGUUGUGAGAACUAAGUGAAGUCAUGUCUGUAAGACGCCUGGCGUGUUGGAGGCACUCCGCAAGUGGUGGCAAUUUUUGCUACAAAGGAGGUAGGGACCUCUUUCUGACAACCUGCUUUUCUUCCCUAAUCUUUCACCUUUUUGUCCUGGCCCUCUCCCGCUGCAACCAGUCCUUCCUGGGAUGUCUGUGGACAACAUCAGACUCUCUACUCUGUUCUCAAAGGCAAGAAUCUCUGAGCCCUUUGGGACAUGUAGUUCUGGAAUCGUUUUGCUGUUGUCAGCGGCUCUGGAAGAGACAUUAGCCCCACAAGGCUUGAUGUGGGAAGUUUUUACAGGUGACUGCCUGUGGGCUACAGUCUCAAACAGCCGUGCUUAUGUGGUUAGAUGCAGAGGACACACAGACCACAAAAUAAAUCAGGAAGACACCAGUGCUCAGCGCCCAAGAGCAAAACAAACGAAUCCUGGAGUGACGCCCAGCACAACGUGCCAGUGGGUCUUAUGCUAAGAGGGGGAGAAACAGCACAGAGUCCACCAUUCCUGCAACUUGUGCCCACGGCAGCAGAGCAAGUGGAUAAUAACUCUCUCAGAAUAAUAAUAAUAAUAAUAAUAAUCACAUCAGUCUCGAGAUCUGUCUAAACAGAGCACUCCAAGCAGCUUACUCCCAGUCAGGAAGAGUUGGUAUAUGAGCUGAAACCUCUCUGCCAGCCCAAAUUUGAUUGGUUGUCUGACUCCAAGAAUACCAAGCUAAAAGGACCAUCACCAUUACCGACCGUCCCAACGUCCUCCUGGCCUCCUGGAUCUGCAGGACAAGGUUGGCCCAUGUUUCCAAGAGGAGACUAGGACUGCCCUUCACUUAGGAGGGUGGCUCGGAGCCCACUUCUGCCCUCCCUACCGCUGGUCUCCUCCUUCGGGUGUCUUCAGAAGAGACUUCUGUUGAAGAGGAGAUUCAUUCAUCAGCAGAUGAGCCAUUUUCAUGUUUAGACCAAACCUCCAGCCAAAACAAACAAACAAACAAAGUUCCUAUCAAGACAAGUCAGUAUGUUGGCUUUACUCUCAGAGCCUUGCCUGGAUGUCAGGAUCCUUUGAUGGUGACCUCCGACCUGGGGAGCUCCGGAAGGCUUUGAGGUGCCAUUCCACUGACAUUCCACUCUGGGAGGCUCUGCCUCACGCCUAACGCACCUGCCAGCAAUUAAAGGUCCCCUCCCCAGCGACCUGGGCUCGCCUGGGGGGCCCAGGGUCUCUUACCUUUCAAGAGUCCCGAGCCACCCGGCUGUAUGGGUUCCCACAACCUCCUCCCUUCCCUUCACAGCAGUCACGUCCCUACCCCGUUAAUAACCUGCCUUCUUCAGGAAGUGAAGUCCGACCAGGGAUAGCACGACACGCCGAAAGAACAGAGAACUGGGGACACAGGACCCACAUUCCAGCUCUGCCUCAGCCGCCAACUUGCUCUAGGACUGUGGCAAGUCUCUCCCGUUCUCCAACACCACUUCCUGGCGACAGUGCUGGACUGGAUCAGUGUUUCUUAGAGUUUACCCCGAGAUGUCCCAUAUCAGAAUCCUCUGGAAGACUCAUUAAAAAUCCAGGCUCAAACUCUCCACCCCAGAUCCACUAUGACAGAAUUUCUUUUCUUUUCUUUUCUUUCUUUUUUUUUUUUUUUUGAGGAAGAUUAGCCCUGAGCUUACUGCUGCCAAUCCUCCUCUUUUUACUGAGGAAGACUGGCCCUGAGCUAACAUCCAUGCCCAUCUUCCUCUACUUAUAUGUGGGACGCCUACCACAGCAUGGCAUGCCAAGCAGUGCCAUGUCCUCACCCAGGAUCCAAACUGGUGAACCCUGGGCAGCCGAGAAGCAGAAUGCGCAAACUUAACCACUGCGCCACCGGGCCGGCCUCUAUGGCAGAAUUUCUGGAGGUAAGGCAUGGCCUGCAUUUCAACACAGGCCCCAGGUGUGUCUUAUGCCCACUGAGGGCUGAGCAGCACUGUCCUGCUUUGUUCCAAACUACAGCUGUCCCUGAGAAUCCCCCUACGUGCUUAGUCUGAACUCGCUCGGGCUCUACAUGGGGGCAGAUUUGCCAAGAAGCGAAUGACCUUUGUACAGGCUCCUGGCAAGGCUCUGGGAGGAGCCGUGGUAAAGUCACGUUCACACUAGUGAAUUCUUUUACUUAAAGAAUAAAAGAAUAUGCUACCACAUACUAAAAA
ensembl:lncRNA